UGGCGUCAUUGCGUGGCCCCGCCCACCGCCCUAGGCCGCCGCUGCCAGGAAAGCCUCUGUCAUUGGCAAAGAGCGAAGGCUUCUUUUCCAAAUCUCUCCAAAAGAAAUGGAAAAGGCUCAAAGUGCAGUGGUUCACCCCAGGCCACAGAAAAGGCUGAUGGCAGAGGAAGGAGAAUUACUCAAGCUUUCCUAAUUCCCCCUGAGCCCUUCACCUCACCACCCCCUCCCCCAACCCCUACCACCAAAUAGCUGCUCAAGUCAGGUUGCUUUGCAGUCACAGAAAGUAACCCUUCCAGGUAACUGCGGAGGCCGAGAAAAUUAAGGCCAUCCUACCUCAAGUUUAGCUGAUGUGGGAAACAGAGGCAGAA